rnacentral:lncRNA from 1 species
CCAAGUAUACACAUCUUAGCUAGUACAAAUAUGAACUGUUUCUAAUCUUCCUGGUUACUCUAGUGCAGCAAGCUAUACAUUUGCGAACUUAAGAAGAAGUUAGCUACAUCAGUCAAAAUGAGCAUGAUAGUUACCAAGUUUGGUCCAUGGGGAGGACCAGGCGGAGAUUAUAGAGACGUUCAGGUGGCUCCUUAUCGGCUCGUUCGCCUAACAAUCCGCAGCGGAGACACCGUCGACGGGAUCUCCUUCACCUACAUCGGCAACGAUGGUCUCGUGUACCACAUGGGUCAUUGGGGUUCCGAUGGUGGUGUUCCGCAUGAGAUUCAUCUCGGCCUUAUGGACUUUGUGAUGGAAAUCUCUGGCACAACGGGCAUGUGGGUCAGUGGAAUGAGUAACGUCCUACGAUCACUCAAGAUCACCACCUUGAAAAGGACUUAUGGGCCAUACGGCAACCCUAAAGCUGGGAUCCCUUUUAGCUUCUCAGUUGAUGGCAGUGAUCGGAUCACUGGCUUUUUCGUACGCGCUGGCUUUAUAACCGAUGCAAUUGGAGUCUAUGUUCGUCACUGCUAGAGUUUUAGGCUAGAAAAAAUACCCAUGCUUUACAACGGGUGAAGGUUAUUUUAUUGUUAUAUGAUUUAGUUAAGGUGAAAUUCACUGUGGGAAUUCACUUGGAUAUAUAUUUUUCUAAAAAAUCAUGAGCUGCAAUUAAGAGUCCGAUCAUCUUAAGUUAGUAUGUGAGUUUUUUUUAAGAAAUAUAUUAUACGACUCCUUCCGUAUUUCCAAAAGCGAACGGGCUUAAAACCCGACUCAAAUACGGAUCUAUAUUUUCAAAAUAAAAUGAACUUAAAAACCAACUCUAUAUAUAGAUGACAUACCAAAGCAAAAAUAUCUUCAAAUUUUAUAUUACUAUAGAUAAUGAAAUGAAUCUCGAUCUUUGCCGCACUGAAAAGCUACAGCCGCUGCUAGCUACAUAGUUAUCCACAUUUUCAAAGAUAAGUUUUUUACUCGAUUAAUUUCUCAGUGCCUCUAGCCGGGUGGGUGCCGGAAGUAGUUUCUACCCAUGUAGUGAUGUAGACAUACCAGCAUGCAAGGACAAUAUUGGUUCUCCAACAAUUAUAGUUCAAUAGAUUUAAGUGAAAUGUAAUAAACAGUGCGACAAUAUA